AUGAACGCUGGCGGCGUGCCUAAUACAUGCCAGUCGCGCGAACAGACGAGGAGCUUGCUCCUUCGACGUUAGCGGCGGACGGGUGAGUAACACGUAGGUAACCUACCUAUAAGACUGGGAUAACUUCGGGAAACCGGAGCUAAUACCGGAUAAUAUUUCGAACCGCAUGGUUCGAUAGUGAAAGAUGGCUUUGCUAUCACUUAUAGAUGGACCUGCGCCGUAUUAGCUAGUUGGUAAGGUAACGGCUUACCAAGGCAACGAUACGUAGCCGACCUGAGAGGGUGAUCGGCCACACUGGAACUGAGACACGGUCCAGACUCCUACGGGAGGCAGCAGUAGGGAAUCUUCCGCAAUGGGCGAAAGCCUGACGGAGCAACGCCGCGUGAGUGAUGAAGGUCUUCGGAUCGUAAAACUCUGUUAUUAGGGAAGAACAAACGUGUAAGUAACUGUGCACGUCUUGACGGUACCUAAUCAGAAAGCCACGGCUAACUACGUG
rnacentral:rRNA from 1 species